CCUCCCGGGAGGCAGCAGUGGGGAAUAUUGGGCAAUGGGCGCAAGCCUGACCCAGCAACGCCGCGUGAAGGAAGAAGGCUUUCGGGUUGUAAACUUCUUUUAUCAGGGACGAAGCAAGUGACGGUACCUGAUGAAUAAGCCACGGCUAACUACGUGCCAGCAGCCGCGGUAAUACGUAGGUGGCAAGCGUUAUCCGGAUUUACUGGGUGUAAAGGGCGUGUAGGCGGGAGUGCAAGUCAGAUGUGAAAACUAUGGGCUCAACCCAUAGCCUGCAUUUGAAACUGGACUUCUUGAGUGCUGGAGAG
rnacentral:rRNA from 1 species